ACCGCACCUGGUCACCACAUACAGUCUUAAUUGUAGUUUUUAUGUUUUUCUUUUUCUUAUGUAUUUUUCUUUUCUUUUCUUUUCGUUAGAGAUAGGGUCCCACUCUAUCACCCAGGCUGGAGUGCAGUGGCAUGAUCAUAGCUUACGGCAGCCUCAAACUCCUGGGCUUAGACAACCCUCCUGCCUCAGCCUCCUGAGUUGCUGGGAUAACAGGUGUGUGCCACCAUGCGCAGCUAAUUAAAAAAAAAUUUUUUUAGAGAUGGGGUCUUGCAGUGUUGCCCAGGCUGGCCUCAAACUCCUGGCUUCAAGAGAUCCUCCCACCGUAGCCUCCCAAAUAGGGGACUACAGGUAUUAGCCACCAUGCCCCUUAACCCACGUAUGCCUAGCGUUCCAUUAUUGGAACGCUAAGCAUGUGGGAAUUAUUUAUAGCCUACUGCUCAAGGUCAUCGCCAAGGUCUGAUUUUUCACUCAUGCAAAAAUUCAAAAAAUUGCAACCUCUGGCAUAAACGGGUUAAGUACUUUCUGUUUCGGACCAUAAGAAAAGCCAGAUGGAUCUAUAAUCUUUAUAAUUACUAUGGUUAUCAUGGUGAUACACUCCUCACCUGCUUCACUUGAUUUCAUGUUGUUACUGGUAAUCCUAAUACAACUGCAAACUGGCUGGGCACAGUGACUCCUUCCUGUAAUCCCAGCACUUUGGGAGGCAAAGGCAGGAGGAUCAUUGGAGCUCAGGAGUUCAAGACCAGCCUGGACAAUAUAGUGAGACUCUGUCUCUACAAAAAAAGAAAAAUAGGCCGGGCAUGGUGGCUCACACCUGUAAUCCUAGCACUUUGGGAGGCCGAGGUGGGUGGGUCACCUGAGGUCAGGAGUUCAAGACCAGCCUCGCCAACGUGGUGAAACUCUAUCUCUACUAAAAAUACAAAAAUUAGCUGGGCGUGGUGGUGGGUGCCUGUUAUCCCAGUUACUGGGGAGGCUGAGACAGGAGAAUCGCAUGAACCUGGGAGGCGGAGGAUGCAGUGAGCCGAGAUCACACCAUUGCACUCAAGCCUGGGUGACAAGAGCGAAACUCCAUCUCAUAAAUGAAUAAAAAAUAAAUAAAUAGGCUGGGUAUGGUAGUGCACGCCUAUAGUCCCAGCUAUUUAGGAGGCUGAGGCAGGAGGAUUGUUUGAGCCUAGGAGGUUGAGGCUGCAGUGAGCUAUGGUCGCACCACUGCACUCCAUUCUGGGCAAUAGAGUGAGACCUUGUCUCAAAAAAAAGUAAACUAAAUAUUGUAAGCCAUGGAUUACCUGUAGUCUGUAGUCUCUUUCCUUAUAGGAACGAGGUUAUUCCUCUGAUUGAUUUUAUGUGUGCCUGUGUGUGUGUGUGUGUGUGUGUGUGUGUGUGUGUGUGUGUGUGUCCAACCCAAUCUCAAAAUCUUACUUAAGGGUCCAUUUCCUGUAAUAACUUCUGUUGCAAAUCACCAUAUCUUUAGAGUCUUAAGAAGAAAUAGAGGACAGAUUAAAAAUAAUUUAAGAAGGCUUGGCAUGGUGGCUCAUGCAUGUAAUCCCAGCACUUUGAGAAGCUGAGGCAAGAGGAUGGCUUGAGCCCAGGAGUUUGAGACUAGCCGGGACAACAUGGCAAAACCCCACUUCUACAAAAAAAAAACUAGCUGGGUGUGGUGGCACACACCUGUAGUCCCAGGUACUUGGGAGGCUAAGGUAGGAGGAUCGCCUGAGCCCAGGAGGUUGAGGCUGCAGUGAGCCCUGGUUGUGCCACUACACUGCAACUUGGGUGACAGAGUGAGACCCCUGUCUCAAAAAAAAAAAAAAAAAAAAAGGAAAUAUACUGGUAAAAUGUAUUACAUUAAUAAUUCUGUUUAUCAAGGCACCAUUACAAAAAGACUAACCACAAUGUAAGAAAAGAUACUGGCCACACAUAUAUUUGACCAAGAACUCAUAUCCAGAAUAUAUAAAUGAUUCCUAAAAAUCAGUAAGAAAAAGAAUGACAACCCAACAGAAAUAUGGGCAAGUGACUUUAACAGGCACUACAGAAAAGAUCUCCAAAAUGUCUCUGAAGGCCAUUUUUGUGAAAAACAAAAACAUCUCCAAAUGUUAAGUACCAUAAAAUGGUGCUCAACUUCAAUGGUCAUCAAGUAAAAGGUUAAUGUCAAAAUGAGAUACCACUACAUUCGCAUCAGAAUGACCAAAUUAAAAAGAUUGACAAUACCACGUGUUGACCACAGUGUGGAGAAAGUGAAACUUUGUCACACUGUUGUGGAGCAGUGACAGGGGACGGGGGACAGGGAUUGGGUAAAGUUUCCAUAAACUUGGAAAACUGUCAUUCUUUACAAAAUUUGAAAAUACAUCAAUGACUAAGCAACUUUAAUCCUAAGUAUAUACUCAACAGAAAUGUCUUCACUUGCAUGUGAAGAGACAUACAGAAGAAUGCACCAUAAUUGGUUAAUAGCUUUAAAGUGGAAACAGCCCACUGAAAUAUCAACAAUAAAAUGGAUAAAUAUAUUUUAUCCAUUUAAUAGAAUAUAGAAGUGAAUAUGAACAAACGAUAAACACCACAGAUCAUUUUCAGAAAUAUAAUGGUGAAAAUAUACAUUACAUAAUUUCAUUCAUGUAAGACUCAAAACUAGGCAAAAAUGAUGUAUGGUUAGAAAUCAGAAGAGUGGUUACAUUUGGGGAACAGUGACAGGAUAGUUACUGGGAGCUCUCAUAAGAAGGUUUCUAUUUCCUGGGUGCUGGAUACAGGGACACUCUGUGAUAAAUCACUCAUUUUUGCAUAUAUGCUAUAUUUCAAUUUUUUAAAAGGGUGGUCCUUAAAAGAUUAUGAUUUAGGGUUUACCACCUUGCCCCUCUCCAUCAAUUCAAAUAUUUCUUCCAGUUCAGAUCCCACACCUUACAUGAAGCCUUUCCCAACCAUUUCAGCCAGAAGGAAUUUCUCUUUCUUCCUGGUUUUUAUGCCAUGUUCUCUGGGAGGUAGUGUAAUAUAGUGGAAAUAGUAUAGGCUAAGGAACUUGGACUUUAAUCUGUGUGGCAAUAAAGAGCAGAAGAGUGACUCGGUCAGACUUGUAUCUACCUACCACAAAUUUAACCAAUUUUACUUAUAUUUCUCUGUGAACAAAUAUGAAAAUUUAUACACAUAUAUUAAAUAUAAAUAUAUAGCUUUUAUACCACGGAAUACUACUCAGCCAUAAAAAGAAAUGAAAUAAUGGCAUUCACAGCAACUUGGAUGGAGUUGGAGACCAUUAUUCUAAGUGAAGUAACUCAGGAAUGGAAAACCAAACAUCAUUAUGUUCUCACUUAUAAGUGGGAGCUAAGCUAUGAAGAUGCAAAGGCUUAAGAAUGAUACAGUGGACUUGGGAACUUUGUUGGGGGCGGGUGAGAGGGGGGUGAGGGAUAAAAGACUACGCAUUGGCUACAGUGUACAUUGCUCAGGUGACAGGUGCACCAGAAUCUCAGAAAUCAUCACUAAAGAACUUAUCCAUGUAACCAAAACCCACCUGUUCCCCACAAACUAUUGAAAUAAAAAUUUAAAAAUACAUAAAAUGUGUAAUUUGUGAGAUUGUUACAAUAUUUGCCCUCAAUAAAUCAUGCCUACUUUGUUCAUGCAUCUUUGCAAUGUGCUUUUGCCACUUUUCCCAUCAAAGGCUUUAUUUCCUUA
rnacentral:lncRNA from 1 species